rnacentral:rRNA from 1 species
GGCCAGACUCCUACGGGAGGCAGCAGUGGGGAAUAUUGGACAAUGGGGGGAACCCUGAUCCAGCGACGCCGCGUGAGUGAAGAAGUAUUUCGGUAUGUAAAGCUCUAUCAGCAGGGAAGAAAGAAAUGACGGUACCUGACUAAGAAGCCCCGGCUAACUACGUGCCAGCAGCCGCGGUAAUACGUAGGGGGCAAGCGUUAUCCGGAUUUACUGGGUGUAAAGGGAGCGUAGACGGGAAGCCAAGUCAGCUGUGAAAACUACGGGCUUAACUUGUAGACUGCAGUUGAAACUGGUUUUCUUGAGUGAAGUAGGGGUUGGCGGAAUUCCGAGUGUAGCGGUGAAAUGCGUAGAUAUUAGGAGGAACACCAGUGGCGAAGGCGACUUUCUGGACUGUACCUGACGCUGAGGCGCGAAAGCGUGGGUAGCGACCGGGAUUAGAUACCCCUGUAGU